rnacentral:lncRNA from 1 species
UUUAUUGUAAUCUUGUAUGCUUCUUCUACUUUAUUCUUGUGUGUUCUUCUUCUGUAUUUUCCCUUACUAUGUUCUUGAGUGUUUCUAAUUAAUUCCCAUCUACUGAGUCCUGGUUAAGUUCUUCCAAAACCUCUUAAACAUGAUUCUCCUACUGUUCUUAUCAAUUUUUCCCAUUAUGUUUCAUAUUAGAUUCUCCUGUUCUAUUUUCUAUGAGCUCUUCUACUGUGUUUUGCAUGUUACUCUGCUAUCAUGUUUCUCAUAAGUUUCUGUUGCUGAGAGGAACACGGUUGAUGUUUCAGAUCUUUCUGAGACCUAUGAACCUAUUUGGAGUCUCUUAAAUGAGUUUCAAAAUACUUGUUUUUCAUAUAAUUCCAACUUUUGCUAAACUAUUCUAAGAUUUGUUGCAUUGGAUCCUUUGUAUGCUACUAAAUUCUACUUCUCUUCAACAUUGCAAACCUAUGUGACAACCAUGCUUCUAUGGGGUAUUUUUCUACUGAUUUUACACAACAUCUUCUUUAAUGGUUGACAUGUUUGUAUGUUCUUUAUAUGUGAUGAACUCCUCUCUAAAAUGAGUUUCAAAUUUGUGACUUCCUUUAGAAUAGGUCUAAUUGAUUUUCUUUCCUUGUCUGUUGAUUUUUUGUGACUUGACUUAAGUUAAAACCCUUGUCAUCUUUUACGACUUGGUUCAUUCAUAUAAAAUAUCUUACCUUUGAUUUAAU